rnacentral:lncRNA from 1 species
GCUUCACAGAUUAAAAAUAAAGAAAUAUUUAUAGAAUAACUAAUCGAAGAAUUCAAAUAGAGAAAAAUAUUCAACGAGUGACCGAACAACACAUUAAUUCACGAAUGCGCGUAGCGCAUGAGUUAAUUAUCAGUGUUGUUCGGUCAUGAGUUGAAUAUUUUUUCGAUAUUUGAAUUCUUUAAUUAGUUAUUCUUUUUAUUACAUUGCCAAAUGGCUUUUUUUUAAAGAAAUUAAUGUAAAACAUGUAAGGAACUAUAUCUUUUUU